rnacentral:rRNA from 1 species
CGGACGGGUGAGUAACGCGUGGGUAACCUGCCUUGUACUGGGGGACAACAGUUGGAAACGACUGCUAAUACCGCAUAAGCGCACAGCUUCGCAUGAAGCAGUGUGAAAAACUCCGGUGGUACAAGAUGGACCCGCGUCUGAUUAGCUGGUUGGUGAGGUAACGGCCCACCAAGGCAACGAUCAGUAGCCGGCCUGAGAGGGUGAACGGCCACAUUGGGACUGAGACACGGCCCAA